AUUGAACGCUGGCGGCAUGCCUUACACAUGCAAGUCGAACGGUAACAGGGAGCUUGCUCCGCUGACGAGUGGCGAACGGGUGAGUAAUGUAUCGGAACGUACCUUUUAGUGGGGGAUAACGUAGCGAAAGUUACGCUAAUACCGCAUAUUCUCUGAGGAGGAAAGCAGGGGACCUUCGGGCCUUGCGCUAAUAGAGCGGCUGAUAUCAGAUUAGCUAGUUGGUGAGGUAAAGGCUCACCAAGGCGACGAUCUGUAGCGGGUCUGAGAGGAUGAUCCGCCACACUGGAACUGAGACACGGUCCAGACUCCUACGGGAGGCAGCAGUGGGGAAUUUUGGACAAUGGGGGCAACCCUGAUCCAGCCAUGCCGCGUGAGUGAAGAAGGCCUUCGGGUUGUAAAGCUCUUUCGGCCGGGAAAAAAUCGCAUGGGCUAAUACCCUGUGUGGAUGAUGGUACCGGAAUAAGAAGCACCGGCUAACUACGUGCCAGCAGCCGCCGUAA
rnacentral:rRNA from 1 species